AGGGGGUGCAAGCGUUAUUCGGAAUUAUUGGGCGUAAAGAGCGCGUAGGCGGUUUACUAAGUUUGGUGUGAAAGCCCUGGGCUCAAUCCAGGAAGCGCAUUGAAUACUGGUAGACUUGAGUAUUGGAGAGGCAGGCGGAAUUCCCGGUGUAGAGGUGAAAUUCGUAGAUAUCGGGAGGAACAACAGUGGCGAAGGCGGCCUGCUGGACAAUUACUGACGCUAAGGCGCGAAAGCGUGGGGAGCAAACAGGAUUAGAUACCCUGGUAGUCCACGCCUUAAACUAUGAACACUAGGUGUCGGGAGGUCUUACCCUUUCGGUGCCGCCGCUAACGCAUUGAGUGUUCCGCCUGGGGAGUACGGCCGCAAGGUUA
rnacentral:rRNA from 1 species